rnacentral:rRNA from 1 species
GAUGAACGCUGGCGGCGUGCCUAAUACAUGCAAGUCGAGCGAACGGACGAGAAGCUUGCUUCUCUGAUGUUAGCGGCGGACGGGUGAGUAACACGUGGAUAACCUACCUAUAAGACUGGGAUAACUUCGGGAAACCGGAGCUAAUACCGGAUGAUAUUUUGAACCGCAUGGUUCAAAAGUGAAAGACGGUCUUGCUGUCACUUAUAGAUGGAUCCGCGCUGCAUUAGCUAGUUGGUAAGGUAACGGCUUACCAAGGCAACGAUGCAUAGCCGACCUGAGAGGGUGAUCGGCCACACUGGAACUGAGACACGGUCCAGACUCCUACGGGAGGCAGCAGUAGGGAAUCUUCCGCAGUGGGCGAAAGCCUGACGGAGCAACGCCGCGUGAGUGAUGAAGGUCUUCGGAUCGUAAAACUCUGUUAUUAGGGAAGAACAUAUGUGUAAGUAACUGUGCACAUCUUGACGGUACCUAAUCAGAAAGCAACGGCUAACUACGUG